rnacentral:rRNA from 1 species
GCAGCAGUGGGGAAUUUUCCGCAAUGGGCGAAAGCCUGACGGAGCAACGCCGCGUGAGGGACGAAGGCCUCUGGGCUGUAAACCUCUUUUCUCAAGGAAGAAGAUAUGACGGUACUUGAGGAAUAAGCCACGGCUAAUUCCGUGCCAGCAGCCGCGGUAAUACGGGAGUGGCAAGCGUUAUCCGGAAUUAUUGGGCGUAAAGCGUCCGCAGGCGGCCUUUCAAGUCUGCUGUUAAAGCGUGGAGCUUAACUCCAUUAUGGCAGUGGAAACUGUAAGGCUUGAGUAUGGUAGGGGCAGAGGGAAUUCCCGGUGUAGCGGUGAAAUGCGUAGAUAUCGGGAAGAACACCAGUGGCGAAGGCGCUCUGCUGGGCCAUUACUGACGCUCAUGGACGAAAGCCAGGGGAGCGAAAGGGAUUAGAUACCCCUGUAGUCCUGGCCGUAAACGAUGAACACUAGGUGUCGGGGGAAUCGACCCCUUCGGUGUCGUAGCUAACGCGUUAAGUGUUCCGCCUGGGGAGUACGCACGCAAGUGUGAAACUCAAAGGAAUUGACGGGGGCCCGCACAAGCGGUGGAGUAUGUGGUUUAAUUCGAUGCAACGCGAAGAACCUUACCAGGGUUUGACAUCCUGCGAACCUCUUAGAAAUUUGAGGGUGCCUUCGGGAAUGCAGUGACAGGUGGUGCAUGGCUGUCGUCAGCUCGUGUCGUGAGAUGUUGGGUUAAGUCCCGCAACGAGCGCAACCCACGUUUUUAGUUGCCAGCAUUUAGUUGGGCACUCUAGAAAGACCGCCGGUGAUAAACCGGAGGAAGGUGUGGAUGACGUCAAGUCAUCAUGCCCCUUACACCCUGGGCUACACACGUACUACAAUGCUACGGACAAAGGGCAGCAAACUCGCGAGAGCUAGCAAAUCCCAUAAACCGUGGCUCAGUUCAGAUCGUAGGCUGCAACUCGCCUACGUGAAGUAGGAAUCGCUAGUAAUCGCAGGUCAGCAUACUGCGGUGAAUACGUUCCCGGGCCUUGUACACACCGCCCGUCACACCAUGGAAGUUGGCCAUGCCCGAAGUCGUUACUCCAACCCUUGUGGAGGAGGACGCCGAAGGUGGGGCUAAUGACUGGGGUGAAGUCGUAACAAGGUAGCCGUACCGGAAGGUGCGGCUG